rnacentral:tRNA from 1 species
UAAAAAGUCCCUUAAACACAAAGG